UUAUUUUUUCUUCAGAUUAAUUCAUGCAUAUUAGUCAUAUUAGGAUGAGCAUAUUCUAUGUAAGCUUAUAGCAAAAGUUAGGAAAGAAAAUUCUCCAGAAGCUAUUUUUAAAAUUAAAUCUCUAGUUAAUCCCUUUUUUUUAAUUUUUUAAUAUGAACUAUUUACUUAUAAGGAAAAAACGGGGCAGGACAAAGACUCAAAAACCGGGACGUCUGGUCACUUUAUUAGCGCUUUCCUAUAAGAAAAGAGCGGUUGAUUAUGAAUUCGAUAAUGGAUGUUUCAAUGUAUUUAGUAAAUUUUGGAAAUGUUGCAAUUCUUACUUAAAGACCGAAAUGUUAAAUUUAACAUUGGCGAUUCUGCCAAGCUUAUUGACGAAUGCAAAAAAGGAGCGUUGAUAUAUAGAUAUAAACUUGUCAGUACUGUCCUGGGCCUCUAGUCUCCACUUUUUCGUGUUGUACUCGAACGCACAUCAGCCAACGCACUCGUGUCACUUCUACUCACAAG
rnacentral:lncRNA from 1 species